UUUGAGGUGAAAGGGAUGUCAGUAAUCAGCCGAGUGCCUGGUAACAUUGACCAUCUCUGUACUCUUCUCCUACCCUCAGCCACCAGCACGGCUCCAUCUGUCUUUCCUUUGGUUUCCUGCUGUGAUCCCAUCUCUGAAGGCUUAAGUUUCGUGGGCUGCCUUGUGUCUAGCUAUUUCCCUGAGCCAGUGACUGUGAGCUGGAACUCGGAUGUCCUGGAUGAGAAAAUAACAACUUUUCCAGCUGCCUAUGAUUCCAAAUCUGGACUCUACACCACUACCAGCCAACUUACCCUCUCAGACUUGAGUUCCCAGCAAUACACCUGCAGCGUGGACCACUUACCUACUAAGACCAAAGUCAAAACAUCUGUAUCUCUCCGAGCCUGUGGCCCCGUGACAAUCAUUCCACCCACGGUAAAGCUCUUCCACUCAUCCUGUGACCCACGAGGGGAUGCUCAUUCUACCAUCCAGCUGCUCUGCCUUGUCUCUGGCUUCUCCCCAGCCAAUGUCCGAGUGACUUGGCUAGUGGAUGGACAAGAAGCUGAGAGCCUCUUCCCCUACACAAACAGGCCCAAGAGGGAAGGAGGCCUGACCUUUUCUUUAGAAAGUGAACUCAACAUCACACAGGGCCAGUGGAUGUCAUCUAAGACCUACACCUGUCAAGUCACACACAAUGGCAGCAUCUAUGAAGACAAGGCCCAAAGGUGUUCAGACACUGACCCACGAGGCAUCGCUGCCUACCUCAGUCCACCUAGUGCCUUUGACCUUUAUGUCAGCAAGUCACCCAUGCUCACAUGCCUGAUAGUGGACCUGGCCAGUGCAGACAAUAUGAAGGUUUCUUGGUCCCGAGAAAGUGGAGGUCCCACCAGUCCAAGUUCACCAGUGGUAAAGGAGGAGUAUAAUGGCACUGUCACAGUAACUUCAACCUUGCCUGUCCAGACAAAUGACUGGGUGGAGGGUGACACCUAUACCUGCCAGUUGGAACACCCUGACCUACCCCGCCCCCUCAUCAGGACCAUCUCCAAGGCUCCAGGCAAACGCAUAGCCCCUGAGGUAUAUGUGUUCCCUCCAUCUGCAGAGGAAAAGGGAAACACCGUCUCCCUCACUUGCCUUGUUCAGAACUUCUUCCCUUCUGACAUCACUGUCCAAUGGCUGCUUGAUAACAAGGAUGACCACACUGGACACCACACUACCACCCGGCCCCACAAAGACCACGGACCCGACCCUUCCUUCUUCCUCUACAGCAGAAUGAUUGUCAACAAGUCUCAUUGGCAAGAAGGACAUGUUUACACCUGCCGUGUGGUGCAUGAAGCCCUACCUGGCACCCGCACCCUCGACAAAAGCCUUCAUUAUUCAGCUGGUAAUUGACUACCCUGACCCAGACCUUUACCCUUUCUAACCUCCUUUCCUACCUCCUCAUGUGGGGCCAUUCUGGGCCCCUAGAGGAGGAUAUAUCUGUCUGAUAUCUAAAUACCCCAACAUCUGACCCAAUAAAUAUAUAUGUCCAUGUCUACAUCUAA